ensembl:lncRNA
CCACCUCCCCCACCCCCACCUCCACCACCAUCAGACCUGACAGCGGCGGGCAGUUUAACGCACGGCGUGUCAGACAGUGAUGCAUCGGAGACAGCGCCGUGUUUUCCCUGGACGGCGUUCCCGACCUCGCCGCGUUUCCUCCAAGGUCGGCACAAUUAACGGGACCAGACGCUUCCUCUGGGAACGCCGAGCCGGUGACGGUUCCUCUGGGAACGCCGAGCCGGUGACGGUUCCUCUGGGAACGCCGAGGAGGGGACGGUUCUUCUUGGAGUGCCGAGGAGGUGACGGUUCCUCUGGGAACGCCGAGGAGGUGGACGGUUCCUCUGGGAACGCCGAGGGGGUGGACGGUUCCUCUGGGAGUGCCGAGGAGGUGGAUGGUUCCUCUGGGAACGCCGAGGGGGUGGAUGGUUCCUCUGGGAACGCCGAGGGGGUGGAUGGUUCCUCUGGGAAUGCCGAGCUGCUGGGGAAGGGGGGGGGGGGGGUGGGGUUGUAAAUACUUGGCUGUAAUGAGAGUGAGCAGGAAAUGGUAGUUUGAGAAGGUUCUUGGUUUUCCUCGAUAAAUGAAUGGCCGGCCCAGAAGGUAGUCAGGUAGAAGUACAAACGUAUACUCUGCAUCCAGGAGUAAUGACAGCGAUUUCUGCCCAUUAAAGCGAUAGUGAGACUUCCCAUUUGGGCAAAGCUGUACCUAAUGUGGGUACUAAAACUAAAUGGAUACAUUUCCAGGAAAAGCAAUUGGAGGCGUUUGUUAAAAUGCCACAGCUUGUAUCUUAACUGUGAGUAUAAGAUGUGUGUACGUUUAGGUAUGAUAAAGAUAAAGGUGCAGUAUAGGCAAAACUGGCCUUUGAAAGACAUGGGAAUCCGCACACACACAGCAAUUACUUUCUCAAAAGCAAUAUGUGGCUUUGGGCAUUUCAUUAGAAGUGUGGAUAUUGAGAAAAACUAACUGACCAAUAAAAAUGAAGCAGUCAACAAUCAAAUUAAAGUCCUUUUCACUCUUUCCCCAACGGUAUUAGGAAUGAGUUAAUAAUAGCUUUAACUGGCUCACUGCAUACGCUGAAUUGACAUUGGUUUGUCAUGUAAAAGAUGCAAGUGCAUCAUGCAGAAAAGAGAUUGUAAAAUGGAUUUGUCACUUCGGAUAAGUCACGCAACAAACAUGCACCAUGAAAUAAUGGUUAAAUCAUUUUUAUGUAAUAUCGUCUAAUGUGUACGUCCAGUGCAAUGUGCUCGUGAAACGUUGUUACAUUAGGUUAGAACUUCUGCCAACAUUUCUCCUCCCAAAGUAAAGGGAAGAAAACGUGAAAAUGAAAAAGGCUGCUUUCUGGUUCUUCAGUGUGGUGGUCCAACAUCAAACUUGAACCGUCGUCACCUGAUUUAAAUUCAUAUUUUGUGGAGUGCUGCUCAAAGGUUGUCCUGCUUUGUAAAUAAGUCAGAUCUAACGGACUGUUUGUUUGCUUGUGUGUAUGUGCCGUCUGACAUAAAUCGCCACGAAUCACAAAUGUAUGCCAUAUCUAUAGGUCAUAUUUAUUUGCUAGUAGGACAAUGGAAAAUGAGUUUUUCUGUGGAUUUUAUUCAACUACUUUUGGUGACAUUCAGAGGGAACCUGAACGGAACCAAAGAGUGCUUGACUGUGCCUGAAGUAUCGCUUCUGCAAAAGAGAUUGUGAGUUUGAAGGACCAUUGCUGUUACGAAUGACAAUGAAUUGGAUUCUGCCUUUUUGGGAGCAUUAAUAAAAUGUUUUUGAAAAUCGACUUGUAAACACCACAGAGAGAAUGUACCUAUUUUUUGACAGCUCUUCAAUCCAAUAAAUCACCGGUCCUGUCACA